CUGGCCAACCGAGUUAUUUUCAAAUUUUAUCUGGGAAAAAUCUGAACUCGUUCUCGACUAGAUAAACUCUUCUCUUUCUUUCCACGCUUUACGAUUAAUGGCUAAGCGGAGACAGAGUCUAAUUACUUAAAAAAAAAAAAAAUUAUCUUAAUUCCAGACGCGCGUGUCUAGCGGAAAACGAAAUUUAUUUACCAAAGAGGGGGAAAAAAUACGGCGUAUAUUUAAGCUGUAAUUACACUCUAUUACCCGAACUUGUAGAUACGGAAACGAGAAUUAAACCCGGUCCAAUCGAUAAGAAGAAGUUUAAAUCGAUUAAGAAAAAUCGACGAGUAGGUCGAAACGGCGUAUAACGUACAUCCUCUUUGGUAUACGGGCUAUAACGCCAUCGUUUCGCCUUUCUAUAUUUCGUAGCCCUAAGCUAAUUACUUUAUAGUUGGCUAAAUUUUCUGCCGACGGCGCACCACCAAUUCCUUAACGGAGGAAACCGUCGGCCCCGAGAACUUUUCCAUUCCGUACCAAAAAUGUCGAUCGACACUUCUCGACGCGUGGGUCUUAACGGACGACCGUCACCACUUUCUUGGUUCCGGCCUAAGGCCGACCUCGGACGAGAAGAGAUUAGACGGGGCUUUGUCUUCUCCUUUUUCGUUCGGUUUCUAAUUAUACGUCGGCCACACGCGACUCUUACUUAUUUCGUCGUCGUAAAAACAUUUUCGGCCAUAGGUAAUCUUUAAAUACGAACGGAUUUUAGCUUCACCGUUUAUCGUUUUCCACGGUAGAUACUUGGUGUAGCGCGGAUGGUAAGAAUAAAAAUGGAAACAAAUAAUUUG
rnacentral:lncRNA from 1 species